UACGUAGGGUGCAAGCGUUGUCCGGAAUUAUUGGGCGUAAAGAGCUCGUAGGCGGUCUGUCGCGUCGGUUGUGAAAACCCAAGGCUCAACCUUGGGCCUGCAAUCGAUACGGGCAGACUAGAGUACUGCAGGGGGAGACUGGAAUUCCUGGUGUAGCGGUGGAAUGCGCAGAUAUCAGGAGGAACACCGGUGGCGAAGGCGGGUCUCUGGGCCAUUACUGACGCUGGAGGAGCGAAAGCGUGGGGAGCGAACAGG
rnacentral:rRNA from 1 species